rnacentral:tRNA from 1 species
GCACUGGUGGUUUAGUGACAGAAUUCUCGCCUUCUGUGUGGGAGACCUGGGUUCAAUUCCCAGCCAAUGAA